UACAGAGGGGGCAAGCGUUGUUCGGAAUUACUGGGCGUAAAGGGCGCGUAGGCGGCCUGUUAAGUCGAACGUGAAAUCCCCGGGCUCAACCCGGGAACUGCGUCCGAUACUGGCUGGCUUGAAUCCGGGAGAGGGAUGCGGAAUUCCACGUGUAGCAGUGAAAUGCGUAGAUAUCCGGAGGAAUACCAAAGGCGAAGGCAGUGUCCUGGAGGGUGACUGACGCUGAGGCGCGAAAGCUAGGGGAGCGAACAGG
rnacentral:rRNA from 1 species